rnacentral:rRNA from 1 species
UGGGGAAUAUUGCACAAUGGGCGAAAGCCUGAUGCAGCAACGCCGCGUGAGGGACGACGGCCUUCGGGUUGUAAACCUCUUUAGCAAGGAAGAAGCGAAAGUGACGGUACUUGCAGAAAAAGCGCCGGCUAACUACGUGCCAGCAGCCGCGGUAAUACGUAGGGCGCAAGCGUUAUCCGGAAUUAUUGGGCGUAAAGAGCUCGUAGGCGGUUUGUCGCGUCUGCUGUGAAAACCCGAGGCUCAACCUCGGGCCUGCAGUGGGUACGGGCAGACUAGAGUGCGGUAGGGGAGAUUGGAACUCCUGGUGUAGCGGUGGAAUGCGCAGAUAUCAGGAAGAACACCGAUGGCGAAGGCAGACCUCUGGGCCGUAACUGACGCUGAGGAGCGAAAGGGUGGGGAGCAAACAGGCUUAGAUACCCUGGUAGUCCACCCCGUAAACGUUGGGAACUAGUUGUGGGGUCCAUUCCACGGAUUCCGUGACGCAGCUAACGCAUUAAGUUCCCCGCCUGGGGAGUACGGCCGCAAGGCUAAAACUU